rnacentral:rRNA from 1 species
UUAGUGGCGAACGGGUGAGUAACACGUGGGCAAUCUGCCCUUCACUCUGGGACAAGCCCUGGAAACGGGGUCUAAUACCGGAUAACACUCCUACGGGCAUCUGUGGGGGUUAAAAGCUCCGGCGGUGAAGGAUGAGCCCGCGGCCUAUCAGCUUGUUGGUGAGGUAAUGGCUCACCAAGGCGACGACGGGUAGCCGGCCUGAGAGGGCGACCGGCCACACUGGGACUGAGACACGGCCCAGACUCCUACGGGAGGCAGCAGUGGGGAAUAUUGCACAAUGGGCGAAAGCCUGAUGCAGCGACGCCGCGUGAGGGAUGACGGCCUUCGGGUUGUAAACCUCUUUCAGCAGGGAAGAAGCGAAAGUGACGGUACCUGCAGAAGAAGCGCCGGCUAACUACGUGCCAGCAGCCGCGGUAAUACGUAGGGCGCGAGCGUUGUCCGGAAUUAUUGGGCGUAAAGAGCUCGUAGGCGGCUUGUCACGUCGGGUGUGAAAGACCGGGGCUUAACCCCGGUUCUGCAUUCGAUACGGGCUAGCUAGAGUGUGGUAGGGGAGAUCGGAAUUCCUGGUGUAGCGGUGAAAUGCGCAGAUAUCAGGAGGAACACCGGUGGCGAAGGCGGAUCUCUGGGCCAUUACUGACGCUGAGGAGCGAAAGCGUGGGGAGCGAACAGGAUUAGAUACCCUGGUAGUCCACGCCGUAAA